AAUCCCUAAUGAGAUGUUCCAGCUGCUUACUGUGGACUGAAUCCCUCCCACAUUACUUCUAGCAAAUAUCUCAGUUCUUUUUCUGUGGAAGCAGCGAAGAAGCAGUACGCCCAACACAUCACUUCUCGUUGGUGGGUUCUGAACUACGAAGAUGAGACUGCUUCUCUUAUUCUCCGUCAUCUGCUUGAUGGCCACUGUGAGCUUCAGUCAGCCUCCUGGUCCUCCAGGUCAAAAAGGUGAAAAAGGAGAUCCCGGAUAUCCUGGGUUUCCUGGGAUGAUAGGACCACCUGGACGAGAUGGUUUUCCUGGAUUACCGGGGAUUAAAGGGGAGCGAGGAUUUCCUGGGAUACCUGGAUAUCCUGGCGUUCGUGGAACAUGCUGUAAAGUUUACACU